rnacentral:misc_RNA from 1 species
CUCCGUCAGCACAUCCACUGCUUGUGGCUCCAGCUUCUGAUUUAAAUUUCUGUCAAUGCAAAGCUUCUUGGUAGCAACUUGUAUUCUAGAGGACUUGCUCUCGACCCAAACCCUCCAGAAGUACAAAAACACCUUGGGGACUUGGCAAAAAGUUGAGUACAAGUCUUUAAGAAUAAUGAUAAAGAUGCAGUUGAGAAUUGUGAGCAGCAAGAAAACAGGAUUGGG